CUUUUAUGCAAAAUCACUUCAACUUAUUUAUAGCCUCCGUUCGCCAACCGCUCCUUAUCAUUAUUUAUGUCACCUUAACAAUAGCGCAAGAUGCACCGAAACGUCGGUUUUUAUCACUCGUACUUCUUGUUUCAUGUGCUUGGAGUAUUAAACAGGAAAUCAACGAAGUUUACGUCUAAUUUUCCGCUUGAAAGGAAAUCACGAUAUACUGAUCUGCAUGAAUUUUCAAUUUUACCAGAGCAGACCACAAGCAUGUCAUUGCGUUGGGGUCUGUUCAUCAGUGGGAUAUUACUCUGGAAGCAAAAGGUCAAGUUAUCUUUUUUAUCCGGUAAGGAGGCGAGCAAGAACACUCGUGGUAGACUGGGAUACC